rnacentral:lncRNA from 1 species
GCAGGAUUAUUCCAACCCAUUUCUAAUUAUAAAAAAUAAACUCUAAAACUAAAUCACUUACCUUCCAUGUCAUAUAUGUACUGAACAUGCAUUAUGAUUACGUGGUUUGCAUUCCAUAACUAUGUGGUGUCUAUAGAGAGUAUCUGCUGAGCUUUCGUGGAUUGGGGCUGAAAAGUGUGGAGUGUGUGAGGCUUUUGACACUGCACCAUCUUGCUUUUCCGGUGAGUAUAUAUUAAAAAUAUGAUUGACCAGAAUAGAUGCAACAGAUCUCAAUAUAUAUAGUUGUACCUUUGAAGGUGGACACAAAUGUUGGACGUAUAGCUGUACGGCUUGGAUGGGUACCCCUUCAGCCACUGCCUGAGUCACUGCAGUUGCAUCUUCUUGAAUUGUGAGUUUUAUGAGCCUCCUCCAUGUUGCUUUUGCAAAGCAUAUCCAAUUGGCACUGGCGCUGAUAUUUCUGUCUUUUAUAGGUACCCAGUGCUGGAGUCCAUACAAAAGUAUUUGUGGCCACGACUGUGCAAGCUUGACCAAAGAACAUUGUAAACACAAAAUCAGAUAAAAUCUUCACAUUAGUACACUAUAUUGUAUUUAUAAGCUUGAUUUUGGAACAGUUGCUUUUCCAUGAAAAUUGGAUACUAACUGGACAAAAACAUUUCAAUAUUUGUGAACAGGUACGAGCUGCAUUACCAAAUGAUAACAUUUGGAAAGGUAUGCCAUCUUAUCAUUUAUGUGAAGUGAUUUGUCUUCACUUUCAGACUAAGAACGAAUAAAAUAUCAUUCUUUGACACAGGUCUUCUGCACUAAAAGCAAGCCGAAUUGUAAUGCAUGCCCUCUGAGAGCAGAAUGUAGGCAUUUUGCGAGUGCAUUUGCGAGGUUUGCAGUUCAAUUGUUCCAUCCCUUGCAUCUAAAAGCCAAUCUCCAUUAUAGUUCCAAUAAAUAACAAAACAAUUUUGUUUGUCCACCACCAAUUAGAUCCCUUUGGGAUGUUAAGCCUGAUAAGUAAAAGAUAUAGGGAAAAAUGGUAAGCAUGCACGUAGUUAGAACAAAAAAUGGAAGGUCUCAUGAAUCAGAUUAUAAUGUAAUAAAAAAGUGUGUACAAGAACAUCAGAUGUCCUAAUGCAAAUCUGCCUUUAACAUUCUCAUAGAACGUACUGUACGGUAAGAUUAUCUGAUUUGUUACUUACAAAGAAUGUUGGAUGCAGUGCGAGGCUUGCCCUGCCGGGACCAGAGGAGCAAAGCAUAGUGAGUGCAACUGAAGACAGAACUACCCAUCCAAACCCUGCUGGGAUCAACAAUAGAAUGCCCUUGCCCUUC